ensembl:lncRNA
CUGAGGUGGACUCUUAUCAGAACGCCUGGGAGGUUCAGCGGAUCAGCUGGUGCUGAUCCAGAACAGAUGCAUCCUCAGAGACUCAGAACUCCUGAGUCACCUUAUAGAGGAGAAUGGAUCGGCCAGCUUCCGUGUGUGAUCCAAAGCCUGGAACCAACAUGGUGGAAUACCUCCACAAGGCCAAGCCCACAAGACCAUUCCCCUAUGUUCUGACAUUGGGAAAUGAUACACAGCAUGUGUCUCAGGCCUUUGUCAUCAUUGCUGAUCAGGCUGUGGAACAUGACACACUGCUUCAGGCCGUCGAUGGAAAGGCAUUCUUUAUUUUAGACAUUGAAUACCCGAGGCAGUGUGAACACGUCUGGAAAUUCCUGCAAACCACCGUCUAUGAAAUCCCAGGAGGGGAGUCGAAACUAGUAACGUUUCUGCAGAGUAGAAUACGUGCUAGCAAAAGAAGCAAACAGGUAUUUGUAAAAUGUACUCUUGACCAUUUAAAUGUUGUUUUUAUUUUAGCACUGAGUUACACGUAUUUCAGUGUAAAUUGGUGCAGCUCUUGAUGUGAAGUCAUUGGAACUUUUAUAUUGUUUACAUUUAUAUGAAUAAAUUUCAAGGCAGUGACUUGUAAAGAUUUCAGUAUUGUUGAAGUUUUAUUGUAUUGUAUAUGCUUUACGUGACCAAGUCUAGCAUGUAUGUUUUGAUAGUUGAGUAUGGAUAGGUGCAAUUUUCUGUCUUCUAAAAUGCACUGUAUGUAAUGUGUUAGAAAUAAUUUGGCAUAUUGACCAAACAUUUCGAUUGAUUACUGAACAUUAUGUUGUUGAAACAACCCAUAGUUUAAUUAAUUUGACCCAGCAUUUAGGUAGGGUAAAUAACACGUAUGUGUGGUUGAAUUUACCCAGAUUUGUGGCUAUUUUGACCCGGAAUUUGGGUGGAAUAUUUAACUCAUCUGCUGGGUUAAAAUGGAGUAACCCAUCUUGCUGGGUUGAAUUAACUACUGCUGGGCUGGUGCAAUAUUGCUCCAGCGGCUGGGUUAAAAACCAGCCCAAAUUGGGUCAUUUUUAACCCAACUGUUUUUAAUGAGAUGGUGUCCUGUGCAGCUCCUUGGUGCAGAACACCCUCCCCUGUCUUCAUCUAACAAGACAGCUUCCUCAGCAGCUCCUGCAGAUGAACCCUGAGGUGGAAGACAUGCUGAACAACAAAGAUGUCAUAAACAAGGUGUUUGAGUGUGCUUCGUGGCAAAACUAGACACAUAAUUAACAAAAUUUAACAUCUUGUGCCCAAAAUGUUGUAUUUUUGACUCCAGGUUCUAGGACUCAUAAGGAAUCCUGACAUGAAUGACGGUUUGGUUCUGGAGGACAAUCUUUCAAACACCACAGCUGCUUCUGAUGUACUUCAGAAACCAGAAGCACAAAGCCUCAGAAGCACAAAGCCUCAAUCUAGUCUCAAAACACCACAGGUAAAACAUCAACUGUGAAAUGUCUGAAAAAAUAUUUCAGAUGCUUACGUUUGCUGCAUUUUUUAAAGACAUCAUCUGUAAACCAUCCAGAGGCGACGCCGGUUCUCUCCUGUGACUCCACAGAACCCCUCAGAGGGCUGAUUGCUGCUACCAGAACUGCUUCCAGCUCUCAUAGAACCGUCACCGCAGGCAAAAACACAACAUUAACCUACAAAUGACCCAAAACUAAAACUAAAUAGCAUCUAAACUGUAAGAAAAGAACAUUUAUGUUCUUAAUUCUGUAUUACUAGAAAGUUAUUAAGAUUUUUAUUAUAAUAAGCCGUUUCUACAUGCUUCUGCUCAUCCCUGCUGCAGGUAUGCAGUCUGUCCUGCAAGAGAUCACAGCCAGUCCAGGUGUGAUGCAAGGGCGUCAGUUUGUUUUCAGAAUUGCUGGGGACAAUAGCCAUACACUUGAGUGGGGCUUAAAAAUUGCUGGGGACAAUAAAGUAGGCUAGCACAGGGGUCAGCAACCCGCGGCUCUGGAGCCGCAUGCGGCUCUCGGUGCUUGUAAAAUAAUGAAUGGAUAUUUAAAUAAAAUGCUUUAUAUUUUACUGCAUUAAUUUUACAUCUGUAUGCCAAUUCUAAAUGUAAAGAUUGUCUGCGUAAACCUGAACAGGUCCAACCCGGUCUGUGAGACCGGGUUGACGCGUCACGCUUGUGCGUAAUCAUGCGCUUCUGAGCUGCUUUCUGACCUUCCCCACCUACAAAGUUUAAUUACAACAAUCAAACGUGACAGAGCCUGGAUUUGUAUUCUGAACAGUCUAAACAUGUUUUAAAAAGAA